rnacentral:lncRNA from 1 species
GGAGGCAAGGAGAGUUCCAUUGCUGCCCACUUGUUGUCUGGCUUUCUGCAGUGCAAUUCGGAAGAAGGGAAGGACAGAGAGAGAGACAGCUCUAUAGAGGUGGAAGGCAGGAAGACGGUUCUUGCCUGUUGGGUCAGCCCCAGGACUGUCUUUGGGCAUGGAGAACCUGCAUCAUGGGCAAGCAGAGGAGAAACUAAACCUGAUGUGAGAGAGAGAAAAUCUACCUGCCUGAUCUGCAUGCAGAAAGAAAUGAGGAAGACUGACCACCAGCUUGAAGCCAGGGACCAAGCCUCAGUUCUUAAGGCCUCGGCUGCACGAGUUCCGUUCAUCCCCGAGGACCACCUAGGAUUUCCCACGUGUGUGCUUUCCCAGGAAUUAUUUUGGGCUCAACAGGGGAGCCAGGUCUUAUACUCCAAGCAAGCAAACUCCAAAAGAUUGGUAAUAGACAUUUGAUACAGCUAUCGUGAUAGUAAACAAGGCAAAGUAUAUAUUUGAAAAGAGAGUCAAGUCUUUUUUAAAACAAGGAGUCAUCUUAAGAUACAAAAAAUACAACUAAAAGGAGAUUCAGAGAUGAUAGAUAGAUACAUCCAUAGAUACACAGAUAGAUAGAUACACAGAUAAAUACACAGAUAGAUAGAUAGACACAUAGAUGGAUACACAGACAGAUAGACAGACACAUAGAUAGAUGAUUGGAAAAGAAAGAAGAUCAUAGUAUUCGUUCAGGAGAACAAAGAGGGCGUUUGACAUUGAGAGAAU